rnacentral:rRNA from 1 species
UACGAAGGGGGCUAGCGUUGCUCGGAAUUACUGGGCGUAAAGGGCGCGUAGGCGGCACUGUUAGUCAGGCGUGAAAGUCCUGGGCUCAACCUGGGAACUGCGCUUGAUACGGCAGAGCUAGAGGAUGGAAGAGGCUCGCGGAAUUCCCAGUGUAGAGGUGAAAUUCGUAGAUAUUGGGAAGAACACCAGUGGCGAAGGCGACUUACUGGACACAUAUUGACGCUGAGGUGCGAAAGCGUGGGGAGCAAACAGGG